rnacentral:rRNA from 1 species
GUCUACGGCCAUGCUACCCUGAACAAGCCCGAUGUCUGAUCUCGGAAGCUAAGCAGGGUCGGGCUUGGUUAAUAGUUGAAUGGGAGACCGCCUAGGAAAACCAGGUGCUGUGGGUA